AUGAGCUCUGCUGGUUCUGCAAGGGUUCCAAAGAGGAGACGGACUACCAAGACGUCGGAGGCUGCAGACCGGCAACUUCGGGAGCGACAGUUUCUGGACCUGAACUUGUUUCCAGCUGUUGAAGUAGCCAGUACUGGGGGUUCACUCUCCAUUAAUGAGCCUGUCUCACGCACGCAGCCCCCUCCUACGGCGGCUGCCCUGCUUUACGAGACCACACAGGUUGUGGUGUCAUCUGCUGCUGCAGGGUCAAACAUUGGCAUGAAUAGUUUCCCCAUCAACGUGGAGGUGAUUGAUGAUGAUGUUGCGAUUUAUACCUCAGGGCCGCCCCCUCAAGCAAGACAACAGUCGUCCAGGACAGGACCUAUCACUGUGAUAAUAGAUGAUGAUUCUGAAACUACUGCUGGACCAGCAGGGGAAGCUCUUGAUGAGCAUGUGAACACUCUGCUGUCUCUGGGAAUGAACCCGAGGCACAAUCCCUCGAGAGCACAACCCAACACCGACCUUGUAAUAAACAUAGUAGACACACCUGAGACCAACAACAUACCGCCCAAGGUGGUGCAGGCUGUCCCUGAACCUGUGAAGGAGAUCCCAAAGGAAACAAAGUUCAGCUGUCCAGUCUGCAUGAAUGAGCUGGUCAAUGCAUCAUCGACCAUCUGUGGCCACAUCUUCUGCCAGAAGUGCAUCAAGGCCUCCAUCCAGGCUCAAAAGAAGUGCCCUACCUGCCGGAGGAAGCUGACCAUGAGCAACUUCCACCGGGUCUACCUCCCGACGGCAGAUAAUUAA
rnacentral:rRNA from 1 species